CUUGCCACAAGGUUUUGGCACAAGAGCAGAAUGAAAAAUAGACUAAUGAGCUAGAUGGCUCUCUCGCCAAGAGCCAAAAAAGGUUUUGGUUCAAUUGGGACAGUCUAGCGAGCCAUGAUGGGAUCCAAGUGACCACCGACCCGUUAUCCUUCCACUGCCAAGAGCGGGAGGUAGUCGUUGCUCUGUGAAGCCAGCCUUACGCGGUUCCCUCCGCUCUAGAAACCAAGUAACCCAGAGCCUUCGCUCGAGCCACAGGGUUCAACUCCUGGCUUGGAAUGGGCGGGCCAGUAAAUAGCCAACCCGAACCCGACCAGCUAAUACUGAGCCAAUGUUCCAGCACCUCAAAGCCCCCACUCGGGUUACAAGCUUGCGUUACAAAGCUCG
rnacentral:lncRNA from 1 species